AUGAUAUUUAGAUGCCUUUCAACAAGUGUCUCAACUUCAAAAUCCUACACAUUAAACGGAGCAGCCUUGCUUGGACCAAGCGCGCGAUCUCAAAAUGGGCUGCAGCUCCCUAUAGUCGUGUGUCUCAUCUUCUGGACGGCCCUUCAGUUUGAGAGCCAACCGCCCGCGCCCGCCCAACCCGUUAUUCUGACCGCCAUGGAAAACGCAAGCAACGGCGUCGUGUACCCAGUGAAAUCCAUCCAGCAGUUUAACAGCUCAUACUCGACUGGCAGACCAUAUUUCGACACCGUACCAUAAUAUGGAUAAAUAGCGUGGACAAUUAAACUUCGUCUCAGAAAAGUAGGCCCGUCGAUAUUGGCAUAAUGGAGCGGAAAUGCGCAGUGACCUUUUUUGUCUUUUCACAUACCGUCUUGAGGUGGUGGGACAUGCUCAGACCCUUGUCCAGAAAGAAACCAAGGUAUCUGAGCGAUACAGAUACAUAUCUGUAUAUAUCUUAAUUUAUAAGCGAUCUGAGGAAACCAUAUACAUUUUUAUGCAGAUUUUCAGGGGAUUUAAGAAGCUCGAUAACAUUUCAUUAUGCGGUUUUUAAUGCUGAUCAGUUUUCUUCCUGCUUUUUAUCGUGAAUAAGGGAAUUAUGAAAAUGAUGCUCAUUGUCAGUUAAAUAAAUAUUUAACAUAGAAUCGAGCAUUAUCUUAUAAUAUUAAGGUGGUUACAAAGUUUCGAACGCAUUAUCCUAAUUUUCGAAUUAUCACAUUCACGAACAAAUAUUCGCUUAUCACACAGCAUAAUGGGCCUGUUGCAAAAUUCGCUGUAGCAAAAUAAGAGUUGGAUCUUGUAUAUAAGAUCCAAUAUCUGCUAUAGCAGAUGGCUUAAAAAACACGAUGAGCGCAUCGGGAAAGUGUGGAAUGUCCUCUUAACUUCGCACGCAAGAAAUUUGCGCUUUUUAAGCUUCCCGCUUCAAAAACGAUACAACGGCACAGAUGAACAUUUCUUAAGAGGAGUCGCUCCAUCCAACCCUUCCGCACUAGGAUGCUAUACAAUAUUCAACAUGGCUGACGCUUCCGUGCGAAAAUUAUGAGGGAACAUCAUGACCUUUAUCAACGCAAGGAAAACGUAAGUAUAAACCUGCCGGUUGAUGAAAGCCCAUAC
rnacentral:lncRNA from 1 species